GUUGGCCUCGUGCUUCAGCUCGGGAUUUCAGUUUAUGAGAAUAGGUAGUGCCUACGUGCAUCAGCAUAAGUUCUGUGUGAAUCAAGUGGAGCUUUUCUUAGGAGCUGCUUGGCUUCGUUUGGGCUGGACACAUUAAGCUAUGCCUGUCCCAUCCUCCACAAUGGUGAAGGAGACUGGCUAUUACGACGUGCUGGGGGUGAAACCCUCCGCCACGGCCGAUGAGCUGAAGAAGGCCUACCGCAAGCUGGCGCUCAAGUACCACCCGGACAAGAACCCGUCCGAGGGCGAGCGCUUCAAGGCGAUUUCGCAGGCGUACGAGGUGCUUUCUGACGAGAAGAAGCGGCAGAUCUAUGAUGAGGGUGGCGAACAGGCCAUCAAGGAGGGCGGAUCGGGCGGCGGUGGCGGCGGUUUCCACUCGCCCAUGGACAUCUUCGACAUGUUCUUCGGCGGCGGAGGACACCGCAAGGAGCGCGAGCGCAGGGGUAAGAACGUGGUCCACCAACUGCCCGUCACCCUGGAGGAGAUGUACAACGGCGCCACGCGCAAGCUCUCCCUGCAGAAGAACGUCAUCUGCGAGCGCUGCGAGGGCCGCGGCGGCAAGAAGGGCGCCGUUGAGACGUGCCCCAACUGCCGCGGAUCAGGGAUGCAGAUCCGCGUACAGCAGCUGGGGCCCGGCUUCGUGCAGCAGAUCCAGUCCAUGUGCGACGAGUGCCGCGGCCAGGGCGAGCGCAUCAACCCGCGCGACAGGUGCAAACACUGCAACGGCAAAAAGGUGGUUCGGACCAAAAAGAUUCUGGAGGUACACAUUGACAAGGGUAUGACGGACGACCAGCGGAUCACAUUCAGCGGCGAGGGCGACCAGGAGCCGGGCCUCGAGCCCGGAGACAUCAUCAUUGUGCUCGACGAGCGCGAGCACGAGACCUUCAAGCGGGACGGCGACGACCUCAUCAUGAAGAUGGAAAUCGAGCUGGUGGAGGCGCUGUGCGGCUUCCAGAAGACCAUCACCACGCUGGACAAACGCUCACUGCUGCUCACCUGCAUACCAGGCGAGGUCAUCAAGCACGGCGUCAUCAAGUGCAUCCUGAACGAGGGCAUGCCGCACUACCGGAAUCCGUUCGAGAAGGGCCGCCUGAUCGUGCAGUUCCUGGUCAACUUCCCCGAGCGGCUCGACCCGGCCAACGUGGCGCAGCUGGAGAAACUGCUGCCGCCCAGGCCGUUCCUGCCGGUGCCCGAGGACGCCGAGAUGGUGCAGCUGGCCGACCUGGACCCGCGCCAGGAGAGCCGCCGCCACCACCAGGCGCACGGCGCCGUCUACGACGAGGACGACAUGCACGGCGGCCGCGGCCCCGGCGGCCCCGUCCAAUGUCAGACCCACUAGGAGAGCCGCGCCGCAGCCGAGCGGUCGGACGGACGGACAGACCUGCCGGCUGUGCCGCGUCGCAGCGAGCGCGGUGUGACUGUGCUUCGAGUGAGUGUUCAUAAGUGUCCUAGGUCGAGCGUCGCGUCGCACCCCGCCCGCCGCCGCCGCCGCUGUGGGCAGCCCGGGCGACAGGAGAGUACGGCUGGCCGGCCCAGUCCGCUGACGACGGCAGGGAAGUGUGUGAUACGGGGAGGCUGGCCGGCGCCGGGAGGACCGCGGAUGGACGUACAGAGGGCGGCAGCGGUCCGCCGCCGGUGCCGCUAGUGAUGGACGCUGGGUGACGGCGCCACUGACCGGCGGGCCCCGGGGGAGGGAGACGGGGAGGCACCGGCCGGACUGAGAGCGGUACAGGGAGGCACCGGCCGGAAUCUGAGAGCGGUACAGGGAGGCACCGGCCGGAAUCUGAGAGCGGUACAGGGAGGCACCGGCCGGACUGAGAGCGGUACAGGGAGGCACCGGCCGGAAUCUGAGAGCGGUACAGGGAGGCACCGGCCGGAAUCUGAGAGCGGUACAGGGAGGCACCGGCCGGAAUCUGAGAGCGGUACAGGGAGGCACCGGCCGGAAUCUGAGAGCGGUACAGGGAGGUACCGGCCGGAAUCUGAGAGCGAUUUAUGCGGUGGAGGCGAGCUACAGCCUGGAAUGCCGGAAAAGACGGAGCUGUGAACUCGACAGAUGAUCGGAGGGCAUUGGGACGAUGGACGGUCGUGAUUCGACUACCUCGCCUCUACCUGAAUAGGUAGCUGGUGACUGACUUGGUGUUUGAAGGAGACUGAAGAGAUCACGGCGGUGAACUAGGAGCGCGUGGGAGACAUAGAUCAAGGCCGGGAAACCCGGAUGAGCGAUGCUGUGUUAUGUGACUAGUGUGAUCUGGAAAAUGAAAUGAAACAUCGAUAUGUCUCUACGGCAUCUGUUUGAUUUGUGGAGUUUGAUUCGAAUCAGGAGCCCUGGUGAAUGUACCAAUGUGGGAUGAGAGAUUGCAAUUACCGGCGACAUAAAGCACGGCAAGCACCAACUCAAACGUUUGAGUGUAGUUAUACAGGCACCCAUGACCGGCAUCGCACAUAUGCGAAUAGUGUGAAAUGCGACUUGGUGUGCUGUGUGAAUGUGUGGUGGCGAAAUUGUGGUGUUGUGUCCAGGCGUAACUGGACAGUUUGAAUGAGUGGCUGGUCGCGAGACUGAGUGAGAUAGUUGGAAUGAGACGGCGACUGAGAGUGGUCGGGACUGACGCUGUUAACCACUGGGUAGACUGAUGUGUGCUUGUGGGAUAACGUUUGCGUAGUAUCUUAGGCUUGUUUUUUUUUUUUGCGUGUGAGUUCUUUCAUGCUUAUCUCAUUGUGUGGCCACGUAUUCCAGUGUGUGUUAGGAGUGCUGAUUGGUUGCGCGUUGUAUCAUACCUUAGGUCCGAAUGUGAUGUGAGGGAUGGGAGUGUCAUCUCGGCGCUGGCUGAGGGCGAUGCAGCUGACCUCCCCCGGGCUCUGCGGCGGCGGCGGCGGGCUGGGCCCUCCCCACACCCGCCUGAGGCGGUCCGGGCCGGUCGGCGGCGGCCACAUCAGCUUUACCUCUCCCGGGAGUCGCCGCGGUCCGCCCCGUGGGCUGCGUGUCCCCGCGGCAGGCUUCUGGACCGUGCGGUGCCUGGGACAGACUCUGUGCGGCACUCGCCGGGCGGGGUGGUGACGCGCUCGGCCGGUCAGCGGGGAGAUGUGUGUUCCGCCGGGUGUGAGGCUGGGUCCCGCCGCUGACCGGCUGAUCAGACUGGCACCGUACCCCCGCUCCGGUGGACGCCGCUGGUCGGUUCGGCGCCGGCGUUUCGGGUUUCUCUGUUCAUGUCGCUAGGUUGUAUUACAUUCUCGACUGGUAGGUUCUGUCCGAUUUAUUCGAGCUGAUUAUGUGUAUUGCAUAUUGUCAUGUGAACAAUAAACUGGAUGGUAGAA
rnacentral:misc_RNA from 1 species